CUUUCUUUCUUUUGCAACCACACUUCCGGUAAGUUGGAAAUACAUAGAUGUGCUGGUGGAAAUAGCUUAUUAAGCAAAAAUAUCAAGGUUCGUUUUAUAUACUACGAAAUUGGUUUUCCUGUUCCGAGUUCUGGAUAAAGUAUAUUUGUUAGGUUGGAGACAAUAUACUGUAGACCGAAGCAAGGCAUUUCAAACAGGUCUAUUCUGCAGGUUAUUGCAGAUUUUGUAACUGGAAAAAUGUAUACCAAGAAAUGUUCUUAUCGCGAUUCUUGGUAGGUCGGUUAUGCAGUUAAAAUAUUUAGCUAUGAAGUGUGGAAAUUUUGCAUUGCGUAUUUCAUGGGGCAAUCAGGCAUGGUCCACAAAUCGCACCGAUUUCAAAUCUGCGGUUUGACAAAGAUAAAAAUUUGGCACUAAAUCGAUAGGGCUAAUAUUAUUAACCAUUUAAAAGCUAUACACAAACAA